ACGAACGCGGCGGCGGUGCCUAAUACAUGCAAGUCGAGCGGACCGACGGGAGCUUGCUCCCUUAGGUCAGCGGCGGACGGGUGAGUAACACGUGGGUAACCUGCCUGUAAGACUGGGAUAACUCCGGGAAACCGGGGCUAAUACCGGAUGCUUGAUUGAACCGCAUGGUUCAAUCAUAAAAGGUGGCUUUCAGCUACCACUUGCAGAUGGACCCGCGGCGCAUUAGCUAGUUGGUGAGGUAACGGCUCACCAAGGCGACGAUGCGUAGCCGACCUGAGAGGGUGAUCGGCCACACUGGGACUGAGACACGGCCCAGACUCCUACGGGAGGCAGCAGUAGGGAAUCUUCCGCAAUGGACGAAAGUCUGACGGAGCAACGCCGCGUGAGUGAUGAAGGUUUUCGGAUCGUAAAACUCUGUUGUUAGGGAAGAACAAGUACCGUUCGAAUAGGGCGGUACCUUGACGGUACCUAACCAGAAAGCCACGGCUAACUACGUGCCAGCAGCCGCGGUAAUACGUAGGUGGCAAGCGUUGUCCGGAAUUAUUGGGCGUAAAGCGCGCGCAGGCGGUUUCUUAAGUCUGAUGUGAAAGCCCCCGGCUCAACCGGGGAGGGUCAUUGGAAACUGGGGAACUUGAGUGCAGAAGAGGAGAGUGGAAUUCCACGUGUAGCGGUGAAAUGCGUAGAGAUGUGGAGGAACACCAGUGGCGAAGGCGACUCUCUGGUCUGUAACUGACGCUGAGGCGCGAAAGCGUGGGGAGCGAACAGGAUUAGAUACCCUGGUAGUCCACGCCGUAAACGAUGAGUGCUAAGUGUUAGAGGGUUUCCGCCCUUUAGUGCUGCAGCAAACGCAUUAAGCACUCCGCCUGGGGAGUACGGUCGCAAGACUGAAACUCAAAGGAAUUGACGGGGGCCCGCACAAGCGGUGGAGCAUGUGGUUUAAUUCGAAGCAACGCGAAGAACCUUACCAGGUCUUGACAUCCUCUGACAACCCUAGAGAUAGGGCUUCCCCUUCGGGGGCAGAGUGACAGGUGGUGCAUGGUUGUCGUCAGCUCGUGUCGUGAGAUGUUGGGUUAAGUCCCGCAACGAGCGCAACCCUUGAUCUUAGUUGCCAGCAUUCAGUUGGGCACUCUAAGGUGACUGCCGGUGACAAACCG
rnacentral:rRNA from 1 species